rnacentral:rRNA from 1 species
AUUGAACGCUGGCGGCAUGCUUUACACAUGCAAGUCGAACGGCAGCGCGGGCUUCGGCCUGGCGGCGAGUGGCGAACGGGUGAGUAAUACAUCGGAACGUGCCCAGUAGUGGGGGAUAGCUCGGCGAAAGCCGGAUUAAUACCGCAUACGACCUGAGGGUGAAAGCGGGGGAUCUUCGGACCUCGCGCUAUUGGAGCGACCGCUGGCAGAUUAGCUAGUUGGUGGGGUAAAGGCCUACCAAGGCGACGAUCUGUAGCUGGUCUGAGAGGACGACCACCCACAUGGGGACUGAGACACGGCCCAGACUCCUACGGGAGGCAGCAGUGGGGAAUUUUGGACAAUGGGCGAAAGCCUGAUCCAGCAAUGCCGCGUGUGUGAUGAAGGCCUUCGGGUUGUAAAGCACUUUUGGCGGGAACGAAAAGGACUGUGCCAAUACCACGGUUCGAUGACGGUACCCGCAGAAUAAGCACCGGCUAACUACGUG